UUGAGGCUCCUCACCUAGUCGACGUGCUUAUGGGUCCUUGUUUUCCGCACGAGUCCCUCGCUCUCUUUCUCUUGCCUCCGCAGUCCUGAACACUCGGCGGGAGCAUCGACGACCAUCUAUCUCCGGGAGAACUUGAACGGAAAUAUUCAAGCCGCGACCUUGGAAUUCUGGAAUAAACUUCGGGGCAGCCUUUACUAGUUCGUUAGAGUAUAUGGCGGUUUCAGUAUCCAGAAAGCUUUUACGUUCCUUUCAUGGGUCCCUAUCUGCACUUGGCCGCUGUGAUUCGUCAACUAUCACAUGUCGAUCAUUUCGUUCGUACUUAUCAUGAUUUGUACGGCCAUCUUCAUGGGCAGAACAUAUUUUCUUCAGGAUCCUCUUCUCUUUCAAAGGUUCAUGUUUAUUACAUUUUAUUUGCUCACCCUGUUGUUUUUACAAGCUACUACCGAUAGAAUGUACACGGUAACCGUAUAUUCAACACGCCAAUUUGUUGGGCUUCGCUUCCUUACCGUACUUUUGGCGUUUUAGUUACAAGCCUAUAUGUAUUACUGUUGGGUGGAUCACCUAUCCUUGCGAAUAGAUGGCUUUCAACUUCCAUUCUGACUUCUGAAUUGGGUGAAGGAGCAUUUCCCUCUAAUUUAUUGUCUACUAAGCCUGUGGCAACGGCAGAGCGUACUAUAGGGAACACAUUCAACAAAACCCAUUAGCGAGGUUAGUGGCACUGGGAGAAAGCCUUGGCGGCAGAAGGGUACUGGUCGAGCAAGGCAUGGAACAUUGCAUGGACCCCAUUUAGGGGUGGUGCUACUAUGCAUGGCCCUAAGUCACGAAGUCAUGCUUUUAAGCUGAGUAGGAAGGUUUGUCGACUUGGGCUGAAGAUUGCUUUGACAGCUCGUGCAGCAGAAGGAAAGGCAUGUCUCUUGUCCCUUCCCAAUAUUUUCUUUUUCUGGCUUACACUGAUUAGAGUUGUGGUUUGAAAUUUAAUUAUGAAAACAUCAACAUAUGGUAAUUUCUUUUCGACCUUGGAGAAAGUAUGAGCUGUCCUCAGCUUGUAUUCUGUCUCUGUUCUUAACUAGUUUAGUUAAUAGGUUCUAUGCUUGUGUGCUGUAGUAUUUGCGAUUACUUGGGUGAUAUUAGGAAGAUUAAUGUUGGUCACUCGCCAGUUCAGAACUUUACCACCUGGUGGCUUCUGAAAAGUUGAGUAAACAUUCAUACAAGUGUAGCACAUAUGUUCUUUUAUGGUCAAUUUUCAGGAAUUCUUCUGAUUUUUUCUCAUCUUAAAAGUACCACCAAGAAGCCUUUUAUUGACUUUGAUUGGUUUAGUUGGAUAAAUCUUGUUUCACCAAUUUAACGUAUAUGAUUAUUCUUGAAUAUCAAUGAUAAUUUCUUUAUGAUAAUUUCCAACACAUAAAGACCAAGAAUUUGGUGAAUUAUGUCAAGCAAAUGGAGAACACCAAGAAACUUCUGCUGGUGGAUGGCGGCCCCAUAGGUGAAAAGAUGAAGUUGGCUACACAAAAUCUACAUUAUGCAAAUGUACUGCAUCAAUUGGUUUGAAUGUCUACAGCAUCCUGCUUCACGACACACUUGUCCCGUGAGGCAGUAAGCAAAAUUGUUGAGAGGAUGCACACUCCAAUUAACCGUUAAAUCACUCCACUUGACAAGCUACAUUCCAGUUUCAGAUGAGAAAAGGAAUUAUUUUCUCUUUCAUAGAAAAAAUGUAAUUCAGAACAUAUUUGUGCGUUGCCUAUGUCAAAAUGUGGAAAUCCACCGGUGGAUAGGUUGAUUUUUUUUGUGCAUUGGCCUUGUAUCUUCAGCUGAGAAUUUUGCAGUUGAAUAUUGGCUGCUAUCCUAAAUCACGAUGAAAGGAAGGGAAUUCACUUU